rnacentral:lncRNA from 1 species
GGGAGCCAUGAGGGCUCAAGGGAAGGUGUCCUGACAAAAGAGAGAGGGCAGAACAUUUCUGAAAGCUAAUGGGAAGGGUCCGGGAAGGGGACAGACUGAAGACGUGGGAGAUCUUGAGCCCUUCAGGGGCUGAGGUUGAAUCUGGUACAACAUCUCUGCCUGUAUCUGGUGCCCAGCCUAGAAGCUGGUGUAGAUGAGGGGCCAGGAAAGGGAUGGAGGAUCCUGCAGCAUGGCCUGGGAAUUCAGGACUUCAACGACAAUGAAGAAGAAAUACUGCCAAGAGCUGAGGUACCACUGGCAUCACUUGGGCCUGUGCCAUUCUGCCCACAUCCCCUUGGAAGUACAGAAUGGAGUACAGAAUCCCCCUCCUAUCUGGACUAGGCAGGGAGUUGAGGUGUGAUGAGGCCUUGCCAGCCGCUCUUCAUGGUGGGAAUACAUUCAAAUCCAGCCUCACCUGGAUAUCCCCCAGAAGUGCCUUUUACCACCCGCUGUGAGUCUGAGGCCUCCCCAGCCAUGAGGAACUGUAAGUCCAAUUAAACUUCUUUUUCUUUCCAGUCUUGGGUAUGUCUUUAUCAGCAGCAUGAAAACCGACUAAUACACCAGGUUCAAGGUGAUGCUGUUCUCAUUCCACAAAUACAGUGUUGGCUGAAUCAGUCAGCAGGAUGCCUGGUCCUCCCCAGCCGCAGCUGAGCCUAGAGUCUAUCUCCUCAUUCGAUCAAAUUUGGGGGAAGGCCAGAGUGAAUCUACCUCCCAUUUACAGACAUAAACUUACUCAUUAACUCCUCACAGUAACUCUAUGAGAUAGGCAUUACCCCUACUUUGUAGAUGCCAAAAUUAAGGCCUAGUGAGAAUUAAUGAAAAUUACCUAAAUAUCUGAAUAUAGGGGACUGCUUUCAGUGAAUUGCUACAUUAUUCCUUUCAAGAACAUGUGGUGAUACAAACUAACUGUUGGCAAAGCGUUGCCAAGCACUGGUCCUGCUGGAUCCCCAUUAACUGGAGAAAUAAGGCUUAUCUGCAAUUAGCUCAUUCAUUGUAUGCAAAUGAUACUAAUAGCUUGAAAACAGUGUGUUCUCUUAAGUAGGUUAAACAUUCCCUUCUGAAAUCUUGUUUAUACUAUUUGAGCAACAAACUCUUCUUUUUUUCUUUCUUUUUUUGAGACAGAGUCUCCUUCUGUUGCCCAGGCUGGAGUGCAGUGGCGUGAACUUGGCUCACUGCAACCUCCGCCUCCCGGAUUCAAGCGAUUCUCCUGCCUCAGGCUCCCCCGUAGCGACUAAAGGCAUGCACCACCACACCCAGCUAAUUUUUUAUUUUUAGUACAGACAGGGUUUCAUUAUGCUGGCCAGGCUGGUCUUGAACUCCUGACCUCAGGUGAUCCACCCACCUCAGCCCCCUCAAAGUGCUGGGAUUACAGGCAUGAGCCACCGUGCCUGGCCCAAACUCUUCUUUUAUGGAGCAAGACAAACUCAGCCAGACCAGGCUGGGAGAAGGAUUACAAAUUGUCACUCAUUUGAGAUGAGACAUGGAGGUGUUGACAAGUGCUUGCCAACCUCACUAAUGGGAACCCAUGGAACAGAGGGCCAGCAAGAUUCAGCAUCACCUGAAUUAUUAAGCAUUUGUUGAGAGAUGAAAAUGGCUUCUUUUCUACCACCUGGAGAAACUCAAACUUUUUGCCAACGAAGUCUUGCCAACUGGAUGUCCUGCUGGGCCUACUUUAAUGAACAGAUAAGACUCCAUUUUAAUUAGCACACUAAUUGUUUCCAUGCAAAUGAAUGUGGGGAAAGAUCUUGCAAACAGUUUAUUUCCUUAAGUGGGUUACCAUGGUGCCCCCUGUAGCCCUGUGUAGGGGGCUCAAUUGCACAGCCAACUGUUUUGUUCAUUGAAGAGCACAAAUCCAGCUCAUCAAGCAUCUCCUGAACACAGCCCCUGUGCUGGGCUCUGUGCAAGAGUUGGGGAAUAAACCACACCCAGACCCUAUCUUCUAGGAGCCCACUGUAGAAGUCAAAGGUGAGAGUUGCUAAACUCUGUUGGGUAGAGCUCCUGGUUGUAAGCAACAGAAAUAAAUUCAGGAUAAUUGAUACAAAACAGAUGUAUUGGAGAGGUUAGGGGCAGAGGCAGGCCGGGCAGCAGGAGCCAUCUGGUAGGUACGCUGCCACUACUCAGACUCACCUCUGCCUGCCCCUGUGUCCUUGUGGCAUCAAGGCCAUUGCCUCUUGCCCGGAUGACCUCUGUAUUCUUCUCGCUGGUAUCCUGACUUCCCCUCUGGCCACCCCGCAAUACAUUCUCUCCAUGGCAACCAGAGGACACAUUUAAAACUGAAACUAGACAAUGCCACUGAAGGAAACCAAAAUAUUUCUCUCCAACAUAGGAUUUAUGGGUCUUUGUUAAAAUACCAUUCAGGCAAAACUCCUAAGCCACUGCCUUAAGAGAGAAAUACUUUUGAACUGAAGCCUCACCCACAUGAUGGGUAUAGCAUGUGUUAAUAAACUUCAGUUUGUUUUUCUUCUGUUAAUCUGACUUUUGUUUUCAGGAGAGUAUCUCAACUAUGGGCCUAAGAAGAGAAAGAAAAAAAAUUGUGAUUUCUUCCCUAGACCACCAGUGUGUGCCAAAACCUCUGAAGACCCAGUGUCCAGAGUUUGGUUUUCAAUAUUCUUCUCUAAAAAAAUAAACCACUGCUACCUGGAGAAAUGUCUGGUCCUAAGACUGGGCUGGAAAUACAGAAGAUGAGUCUGCGUCAGAGUAAGAAAAUGCUAAAAAGAAAUCAGUGAGGGUGUACCAAAAGGACAGAGGUGCCAACUGAAAGAGCUCCUCAUGGCCCAAACUAGAUAAUCUGAUUAAGGAAUUAAACAAUGUAGUAUUGCAGUAUAACUCAAAGUAUAAAGAAAAUAUCUAUGAUAUCUGUAUCUAUAAUAUCUAUGAGUCUGUACUGAUAUAAAUAGAUGAUUGAAUAAGUAAAUAAAUAAGGAAGAAUAGAUGAAUCUGCCACAGAGACGAGUUCCAAAUAAUUUUUGUAGAUACUCCCUGCAUCAAGGAGGCAGAACAUGACACUUCACCCUAUAAGCUGCAAACAGUGACUUCCUUCUCUAGGGUAGAGUAUGGCAAGGGGAAAAAAGAAUAGGUUCACAGCAGAGAAAUGUGGCAAACACCACCUCAGCCAGGUGAUCAAGGUCCGCAUCAACAGUAAUAAGUUGUGUUAGUAGCAUGCACUCUUAAUAUCAUAUGAGGAGAAGGGCACUUUACCUCUGUGGUCUUCCUCCUAAAACCCGUAAGCCCAGUCAAGAAACCCAUAACUCCAUGAGAAAAACAUCAACCAAAACCAUGUUGAAAAGACAGUCUACAAAACACUUGACCAGCAGUCCUCAAAACUGUCAAGAACACCAAAAACAAGGAAGCUCUGGAAAACUGAGGAAGGAAAUGAGAUUUAGCUCUAGGGGUGGGGCUCGGACACUAGACCAAAUUGAGGACUAGCUAAAACAGGUCAGGGUGGAAGCAGCUUUCUGUAAGAUCCGCCCAUCAGUGUGCCUUGUCAGUUUACCAUGGCCACCUGGAAGUUACUACCCAUUUCCAUGGCAACAACCCAACAACCUGGAAGUUGCCACCCUUUUUCCUAGAAAUUUUUGCAUAAACCACCCCAUUUUCUUUUUUGAGGUGGAGUCUUGUUCUAUCGCCCAGGCUGGAGUGCAAUGGCAUGAUCUUGGCUCACUGCAACCUCUGCCUCCCGGGUUCAAGCUAUCCUCCCACCUCAGCCUCCCAGUAGCUGAGAUUACAGGCAUGCCCAGCUAAUUUUUGUAUUUUUAGUAGAGAUGGGGUUUUGCCAUGUUGCCUAGGCUGGUCUGGAACUCCUGACCUCAAGUAAUCCACUUACCUCAGCUGGGAUUACAGGCAUGAGCCACUGUGCCCUGCCAAACCACUCCAUAAUUUGCAUGUAAUUAAAAGUGGGUAUACAUAUGAGCACAGAGUUGCCUCUGAGCUGCUACUCUGGGUGCACUACCUAUGGGGUAGCCCUGCUCUGCAGAGAGCAUUCCCGCUGCUGCUGCUGCUGUGCACUGCUGCGUCAAUAAAAGUUGCUGUUUAUCACCAUUGGUUCACCCUUGAAUUCUUUCCUGGGUGAAGAACCCUCCCAGGAUAAGCCCCAACUUGGAGGUUUGCCUGCCCUGUAUCAAAACCAUCACUACCAAGAAAAGCCUAAGAAGACAUGACAACUAGAAGUAAUGCAGUGUCUUGGAUGGAACACUGGAGUACAAAGGACAUCAGAUAAAAGGGAAAUCUGAAUCAAGUAUGGACCUUAGUUAAUCAUAAUGUAUCAAUGCUGGCUCCUUAGUUGUGACAAGUGAACCAUCCUAAUGCAACAUGUUAGCAAUAGGGCAGCGGUCCCCAGCCCUUUUGGCACCAGGGACCGGUUUCGGUUUCGUGGAAGACAAUUUUUCCAUGAACUGGGGUGGCAGGGGAUGGUUUCAGGAUGAAACUGUUUCACCUCAGAUUGCCAGGCAUUAGAUUACCAUAAGGAGCAUGCAACUCAGAUCCCUUGAAUGCACAGUUCACAAUAGGGUUCGUUCUCCUAUGAGAAUCCAGUGUUGCUGCUGAUCUGACAAGAGGCAGAGCUCAGGCAGUCAUGCUCACUCGCCCAUCGCUCACCUCUUGCUAUGCGGUCUGGUUCCUAACAGGCCAUGAACCAGUACCAGAACCCCAACAGGGGUUGAGGACCCUUGCAACAGGGGAAACUGGGUGUGGGGUAUGUGCGAUGUAUUAUCCUUGAAACUUUCCUGUACAUUUAAAACUAUUGUAAAAUAAGAUAUUUAUUGUAAAAAUUAAGUAAACAAAAUCUGCUGAAGGCUUCUCAGUGGACUAGGAAUAAAAUUCACCCUUCUUAUCUUGGCUGACAACACCUGUGUAACCUGGUCUCCUAUCCCCUCUCUGGCCACAUUGGCCUUCACUUGGGCUAGGACACAGGGCCUUUGCUCUUGGUGUUCCCUCCCCUAGAGUGCUCUUCCUCUUGUGCCUCUCUCUCUCUCUCAUCUUCCCUCCCUCCCUUUCCCCCACCCCACACUUCCUCCCUCUUGGCCAAGUCCUCCUUAUUGUUCACAUCUCAGCUUAAAUGCCACCUGUUUGGGGAAGCCACCUUGAGAAAUAUCUUAAGUGUACCCCCGCUGUCACUCUCCACCCCAGCAUUACAUUUGAUUCCUGCGCUGAAUCUGUGCCAAUCUCCCAUCAUUUUCUGUAAUUGUUCACCUGUUUAUUUCUCAGCAUCCCUAGCACAAUGGGCUCAGCCAUUCACAACAGUUCCCCUGGCACCUUGCAAGUAGUACUGGUUUAAUGAACAUCUGAUGGAUGAAGGGUGGAACCCAUGCCUGUCAAUUUGACAGGCAGAUGUGCUAGCCUUGUCACUCCCUUUGUGGACCUUGCUGCCUCUGGAAACCUUCCCUGAUGCCCACUUUGCACCCAAGCCUUGGUCUUUCAAUCCUCCAUACUCCCAUUCAUCCCUGUGGUUAAAGCAACGUGAUGCUUCUUAAAUACAGUCCCUGUCCUGGGUGUCAAACAACCUUGAAGCGAUUCUUACUCCAUGAUCGUAGUUACUUAGUUCCACGUACCCAAAAGUGCCUGUCAUUGCAUAAUUAGGAUGCACGAUGGAACAAAAUCAUCCCCAUGUUUUAUACCUCUAUCAUUUCCAACCUAUAUUUUUGUUACAACACCAAAAGUAAUUCAUGUAGCGAGAGGAUGGAGGGAGUACCUGGAGAACAGAGAGGGUGAUUUUCCUUUUGUCUUUCCCCAUGGCAAUAAGGAGGGAGCGCUGGUGACUUAGAGAAGAAAGCUAUUCAUCAUGUCCUCUGGAGAGAGCAGAUUCUCUUGCCCUGGAGCAUCCUACUGAGCUGGGUGCCGCGUUGUUUGUGGAACUUUCCAGAAUGAAUGAAAACCAGUAUGUCUUUGUGCUUAAGGCACAUUUCCAAUUUUCUGUGCUGACUGAGCAAAGAACUUCCUCAUCCUCGUGAAGGAUGCUUUGCAAAGUUAAAGACAACUUUUACUUAUGGAGGGAGCGGGAGACAGAGGGGUAUCCUUUAAUGCGUGCAGAGUUUCAGCCUGGGAUGAUGGAAAAGGAGAUGGAUAAUGACGGUGGUUGCAUGACCAUGUGAAAGUCCUUAU